rnacentral:rRNA from 1 species
GAUGAACGCUGGCGGCGUGCUUAACACAUGCAAGUCGAACGGGAAAUAUUUCAUUGAGACUUCGGUGGAUUUGAUCUAUUUCUAGUGGCGGACGGGUGAGUAACGCGUGGGUAACCUGCCUCAUACAGGGGGAUAACAGUCAGAAAUGGCUGCUAAUACCGCAUAAGCGCACAGAGCUGCAUGGCUCAGUGUGAAAAACUCCGGUGGUAUAAGAUGGACCCGCGUUGGAUUAGCUUGUUGGUGGGGUAACGGCCCACCAAGGCGACGAUCCAUAGCCGGCCUGAGAGGGUGAACGGCCACAUUGGGACUGAGACACGGCCCAGACUCCUACGGGAGGCAGCAGUGGGGAAUAUUGCACAAUGGGGGAAACCCUGAUGCAGCGACGCCGCGUGAAGGAAGAAGUAUCUCGGUAUGUAAACUUCUAUCAGCAGGGAAGAUAGUGACGGUACCUGACUAAGAAGCCCCGGCUAACUACGUGCCAGCAGCCGCGGUAAUACGUAGGGGGCAAGCGUUAUCCGGAUUUACUGGGUGUAAAGGGAGCGUAGACGGUGUGGCAAGUCUGAUGUGAAAGGCAUGGGCUCAACCUGUGGACUGCAUUGGAAACUGCCAUACUUGAGUGCCGGAGGGGUAAGCGGAAUUCCUAGUGUAGCGGUGAAAUGCGUAGAUAUUAGGAGGAACACCAGUGGCGAAGGCGGCUUACUGGACGGUAACUGACGUUGAGGCUCGAAAGCG